GCAGUGACUGCCCCUUCCCGGCGAGCCGCCUUCUCCGAUGGAGCUUAGUGAUGCUGUCUGCUUUGGUUGUAUUGUAGGUGAGACAGACUGAGGAGCACAGAAUCGUAGACAGUCCCAGCUCAGACACCACAUUCUCUAGCCUGAGGUCAGAGCAGUGAAAGGUGACUAGAGCCAGCACAGAGAGUUAGCGGAGAUGGAUGAACCAAUUGUUGUGCCACAGGCUGGGAGGUCAGUGAAGUUACCGGUGGCCAGCGUGCUGAUCUGACAGAGGGCUCGGUCUCUGGCUGUCGCGUCGCACGGGGAUGGGAGAUGGGGGAGGGAUGUCUGAUUCCUUCACCUCCCCUUUCCUCCGCCUGUUCCCUGCUGCCAUUGGCCCAGCUCCAACAGCAAUACACCGUCCCCGGGAUAUCAGGGGUGGGGCUGUAAGGGCGGGGGGGGCAGACACCACUGGGGUUGAGGGGGGGGAUUGUGGAGAGUACGCACACUCUGUGACGUCUUCCAGAAGUUGCAGGAAUUGGAGGGUGAGGGGGUUGGGGGGUGGGGUUGACUGGCAAUGAAUUAUUCCAGGGGAAGUCACCAUCAGGUGGUAAAGCUGCUGGGAACAGAGGCCAGUGGGAGGGGGAGGGCAAUGAAGCACCUACAAGCAGAUUCCCCUCUGUCUGUGCAAGGGAGGGAUGGGGGGCUCGUGGCAUUACCCGAUAGUGGGACACUAUUCACAUACAGUGCACAUUUCCCACGCAAUACCUAACACUAACCAUUGCCGUGAAUACACAGGUUACGACGAGAGACUUCCAUUGAACCGGGGGAGUGGGAUGGCCCUGACGGGGCAGGUGCGAUUCAGGCUGGCACAGAGGUGGGGUUUCCCUCUUCACCCUGCCAGGGCACACAAUCCUCACCCUGCCAGUGAGCACCAGCAUGCCCUCACCAUGCUGCUAGCUGCUCUACCAAAGCAGGCAUCAUGAUGGGCCAAGCUGGCAUCAGGAUUGGUGGGGUGGGCAUGGGCAUGGUGGCCCAGAGGCUGGCUCACUGCUGUGUUUCAGGCGAGUGACAGCACCAUCUCUGUGUUUGAAAGGUGUUUUUAAUUUCCCACAAUCUGGGCUGAUUUGAUUUAAUGAAUCUACAUGUCACUCUGUUUAUACUCCGGGAAAUAAAGUUCAGAAAUUGG